rnacentral:lncRNA from 10 species
CACAAUUCAGCCAACUUUUUUUUAACCACUUUCUAACAAUUUUUCAUGAAGUCUUCCAGGAUCCUUCUAGGAAUAAUAAGCCUGUCACUUCUUUUGUGACAACAUUAAUGUGCAUCCUGCUUUUGUUAUAAUUAUUUAUGUAUGUAUCUAUCUUCAUUAUAAAUUGGGACAAGAAAAGGAUUUGAGAGGGUUUUUUUUGUAUAAAAGAAUAUUAUUCAGCCACAAAAAGGAAUGAGGUACUGAUACGUACUGUAACAUGGGUGAACACUGAAAACGUUAAAAGUCUUUGGUGUAAUAAUAGAAAAAAAACCCUUUGAGGGCUGUGGUAAGCCACAGUCGUUUUUAAAUACCUGUUAAACAGAAAGAGUGGCUCAUACUAGUGGUCAGCGUGUGAGAAAUUCAAAAUGCUCAGGGUUUCAAGCUGGGUGAUGGAUACAUGGAGGUUUGUUAAACAGUCUCUAACUUAGGAUUUUU